rnacentral:rRNA from 1 species
UACAGAGGUCCCGAGCGUUGUUCGGAUUCACUGGGCGUAAAGGGUGCGUAGGUGGCGUGGUAAGUUUGAUGUGAAAGCUCAGGGCUUAACCCUGAAAUGGCAUUGAAUACUACUGUGCUGGAGGUUGGAGGGGGACUGGAAUUCUUGGUGUAGCGGUGGAAUGCGUAGAGAUCGGGAAGAACAUCAGUGGCGAAGGCGGCCUGCUGGGCUGUUGCUGACGCUGAGGCGCGAAG